rnacentral:lncRNA from 1 species
UUCAAUUCCAAUACCUAUCCCGCAUCAAGAAAUGUCAAACAAAGCACUUCCAGCAUAUAUUCCAAGAAAGCUAUCAAACAUCCUUCCAGCAUCUACCCAUCAUGACGGCACGUCAUCACCUUCACUGUCAAAAUCAAGUAUCCAAGCAUACAAGCCAAAAUCAAGUGUACACACCAAUACCAAGCAUACAAGCCCAUACUAAGUAUACAAGCUAAACCAAGCGUACAAGCCAAUUCCAAAC